AACGAACGCUGGCGGCAUGCCUAACACAUGCAAGUCGAACGAGACCUUCGGGUCUAGUGGCGCACGGGUGCGUAACGCGUGGGAACCUGCCCUUAGGUUCGGAAUAACUCCCCGAAAGGGGUGCUAAUACCGGAUAAUGUCUUCGGACCAAAGAUUUAUCGCCUAUGGAUGGGCCCGCGUUGGUUUAGCUAGUUGGUAGGGUAAAAGCCUACCAAGGCGACGAUCCAUAGCUGGUCUGAGAGGAUGAUCAGCCACACUGGGACUGAGACACGGCCCAGACUCCUACGGGAGGCAGCAGUGGGGAAUAUUGGACAAUGGGCGAAAGCCUGAGCAAGCAAUGCCGCGUGAGUGAUGAAGGCCUUAGGGUUGUAAAGCUCUUUUACCCGGGAUGAUAAUGACAGUACCGGGAGAAUAAGCUCCCGCUAACUCCGUGC
rnacentral:rRNA from 1 species